rnacentral:rRNA from 1 species
AUGAGGGUGUUAAGGACAAAUUUGGAUGCCAUGUGGAGCUCCAAGGAGCUCCACCACCCAUGGCCGGCCACCCCUAGGGGUCCCCCCCAAAUGGGGUUCCUUCCCUUGUUCGGGUUUGCAAGAGGUGGAGGUUCGGGUUUGCAAGAGGUGGAGGGUGCGCCACGGCGACCCUUGCCACUAGGGUACUACCCAGUUCUCGGUGAAAGUGUUCUCAACGGCCGAACCGGCAAAAGGAUGCAGUCACUGAUCUUCGCGGGCCCCACCUUCUUCCAGAGGCUGAUCCACAUGGCAGACGACAAGGUGAAUUUCCGGAACACGGGGCCGGUGCACCCGCUCGAGGAAGCCGGUCGCGGACAACAAGAGGUUCGGCGGGGUCAAGUUCGGGGAGUGGAGCGCGACUGCCUGCUGGCCCAUGGCACGGCCGCCAACCUCCACGAGCGGCCCUUCACCCUGAACAUCAUCAUGCGCCCGUUGCGGGCGGGCGGAAGAUCCGGGGCCCCUACUGCAGGUUCUGCCGCUCAUCGGAGAACAUCGUCAGGAUCACCGUCGCCUACAGUGCCAAGCUGCUCUACCAGGAGCUGUUAA